CUUACCUCUGCAAGCUUAAAUUGUUCUGCCUCAAUUUGAAAAGGUGUUUCAAUUUUCCUGCCUCGUGGUUGUAUGAUAGGAGAUGCAUUGAUUUCUGCUUCAUCAUUUUCUUCUGAAACUGGUCUAAGGGACCCAAAAGGAAUUAUCAGCAAUAACAGUAGAAUUCGUGAAUGCUGCAUAACUUGUCUUAUGGCUAGACCCUUCCUUAUGCUCUCUGAACUAAAGUAUUGAUUGCAGUGGCCAAA